CCGAAGCGUUUCAGAGUGGUUACACCAUCUCAGAGAUCCCUCACCUUAACGGAACCCAUGCCUAUAUUAUCAAGGUCCCUUUCGAAGACCGCAUUGUCCCUAGGAUGUACCUGGGAGAAGGAUUGCUGCAGUACUCACUGGACAUAAAUUACACUCUGAACAUCAUUCCCCAGCAAGAACCUUACUAUCACCUUGCUUCUGUUGUGGCUCUCAUUAAGGAUGCCUUUCCACCAGACUUCACAGCAGUCUGCACAGAAAGGAGCAUAAUCUUCAAGGUGGCUCAUCAAAA